rnacentral:rRNA from 1 species
CCUACGGGUGGCAGCAGUGGGGAAUUUUGGACAAUGGGCGCAAGCCUGAUCCAGCUAUUCCGCGUGUGGGAUGACGGCCCUCGGGUUGUAAACCACUUUAGUAGAGAACGAAAAGGAGCUAUCGAAUAAAUAGCUCUGCUGACGGUACUCUAAGAAUAAGCACCGGCUAACUACGUGCCAGCAGCCGCGGUAAUACGUAGGGUGCGAGCGUUAAUCGGAAUUACUGGGCGUAAAGGGUGCGCAGGCGGAUUUUUAAGUCAGCGGUCAAAUCGUGGGGCUCAACCCCAUCCAGCCGUUGAAACUGGGGAUCUAGAGUGUGCGAGAGGUAUGCGGAAUGCGUGGUGUAGCGGUGAAAUGCAUAGAUAUCACGCAGAACCCCGAUUGCGAAGGCAGCAUACCGGUGCACAACUGACGCUCAGGCACGAAAGCGUGGGUAUCGAACAGGAUUAGAUACCCGGGUAGUC